rnacentral:sRNA from 1 species
UUUAUUUGCACGACGUUCAUUUUCAAUAUCUACAAAGUUAGUACCACCUUUGCCACUAACAUCGACAUACUUGACGCCUAUUUGUUGUAAGUCAUGCAUUAAUUCUUUGCUCAUACCAAAUCCAACUUCUUUUAUAAUGACUGGAACAGACACUCGUGAUACAAUCGACGCUAUAUUAUCUAACCAAGUCACAAAUUCACGAUUCCCUUCAGGCAUAACUAAUUCUUGAGGAGAAUUAACAUGGAUUUGUAA